UGGAUAAGAUCUCUCUUUCUAUCUCACUCUCCCUAGCUGCUCGAAUGGAAAGGGCAGGGUCUGGGUGGCAUGAAGGACAAGGUGGUGUUGAUGCUUCUUACAUAGUUUGACUAUCCUACAAGAAGUGCUAGUUGUUGUAUGAUAAAUAUAUACAUAAAAAGAAAAGUAGUUCGCUGAAGUAAAUCAAAGAAAUCUGUUUGCUAAAUUAAUUUUGUAAUAGAUUAGCAACAAUAAUUUUUCAUAAUUAUUAUGCCAUUGCUAAAUUAGUAAAG
rnacentral:misc_RNA from 1 species